rnacentral:rRNA from 1 species
UUAAUUAUUUUAGUUUGAGAAAGGAUUUUUAUUUAUUAAAUUUGGAGGAGUUCUAAGGUUUAGGGGUAAUCUUAUAGGUAAUAUAAAGUACUGUGAAGGAAUAAUUUAAAAUUUUGGGUGUUUACCUUUUGUAUCAUGGCUUAGUAAAAAUUUUUCUUUAUUUUUAUGUUUUUCCCGAAUUGAGACGAGCUAACAGAGAAAGUUUAUUUAGAAAUUUAUUUUUGGUUCUUACCAUUAGAGAAGUUUCUGUUAGUAGUUAUAUGCUAGGCGUGUUUCAUUUUAGCUGGUUUCCUAUUUUUUCUAUAUGUUUGUUAAUUUUUUUCUAUUUGAAAUUUAAUUUAGAGUUAAAAAAGGGGGUAAAGCUCUUUUUUUUUGAGUUAAAGCUCUUUGGUUUGUUAAAAGUUAUUGAUUUUUAUGUUUUGGGUAAGGUGUAAUUAAUUGCAUUUCUCCUUUAAUAGCGUUAAAGCAUAUUUCUAUUGACGGUUUUGUUUUUUUUCUUUAUAUACUUUGUUUGGGGAAGUUUUGUUUUUUCUUUAGUUUUAAUGCUAAGAUAAGUAAUUUUUUUAUUUUUAUUAUGGUUAUCAUAAAUUAGUUUUCUUCAAGGAAUUAGGCAAAAUAAAUCUCGCCUGUUUAUUAAAAACAUCGUCUUUUGCUUAUAAGUUUUUUGGUAUAAAAGAUAGGUACUGCCCAGUGCGUUUGUAAGUUUUCUUACUUGUUAACGGCGGCGGUAUUCUUAACUGUCCGAAGGUAGCGUAAUUAUUUGGCUUUUAAUUGAAGUCUGGUAUGAAGGGGUUGACGAGGAUUUUUCUGUCUUGGGGUUAGUUAGUGAAUUUAGUUUAAAAGUUAAAAAGCUUUUCUGUAUUUUAGGGACGAUAAGACCCCGAUGAGUUUUUUCUAGUUUUUUUGGUUUAUUAAGGAAGCUUGGUUUGGUUGGGGCAACUAUAUUAUUUUAGAUUUUUAUUUAUUUUGUUUCUGGGGGUAAGUAUUUUUAGGUUACUAUUUGAAAAAUUAUUUUAGUUAUGAUCUAGGUUGUUUUUCUUAGUUUUUGUUUAAAUUACCACGGGGGUAACAGCGUGGUUUUUUUGGAGAGUACAUAUUGAAAAAAUAGUUCGCGACCUCGAUGUAGAAUCACUCUUUCCUAGUGGGGUAGCAAUUACUAAUGGUAGGUUUGUUCAACCUUUAAAAGAGUACGUGAUUUGUGUUUAGACCGUGGUGACACAGGUCAGUUUCUAUCUUUUAUUUUUUUUCUUUUCUUGUACGAAAGGAUCGGAAAGUUUAAAUUUCUUCUAUUUUAAGUUUAUUUGUUAAUUUGGAUCAAGUUUAAGAUAUGUUUAGGAUUUUU